GAUGAACGCUAGCGGCAGGCCUUUUACAUGCAAGUCGAACGGUAACAUUGGUGCUUGCACCAGAUGACGAGUGGCGCACGGGUGCGUAACGCGUAUGCAACCUACCUUUUACUAGAGUAUAGCCCAGAGAAAUUUGGAUUAAUCCUCUAUAACAUCUUUUAAUUUCAUGAUUUUAAGAUUAAAGUUUUAACGGUAAAAGAUGGGCAUGCGUCCUAUUAGUUUGUAGGUGAGGUAACGGCUCACCUAGACUACAAUAGGUAGGGGCCCUGAGAGGGGGAUCCCCCACACUGGUACUGAGACACGGACCAGACUCCUACGGGAGGCAGCAGUAAGGAAUAUUGGACAAUGGACGAAAGUCUGAUCCAGCCAUGCCGCGUGCAGGAUGACAGCCCUACGGGUUGUAAACUGCUUUUAUACAGGAAGAAACACUCCGACGUGUCGGAGCUUGACGGUACUGUAAGAAUAAGGAUCGGCUAACUCCGUG
rnacentral:rRNA from 1 species